GUAGCCUAGGCAACAAAGUGACACCCUGUCUUAAAAAAGAAAAGAAAGAAAGAAAGAAAAAGAAAACUAGAAGAAAAAGGUGGCUGUUGAAGAAGACUAUAGGUUCUACAGGAGAAUGACCUUAUAUAUAAGAUAUAGACAGAUGAUCAACAGAUAGAUACAUAGAUGUAUAGAUACAGAUAUAAACACACAUGUAUAUGUUCACAUGUAAGUACAUGUGUACAGACAUAGAUGUAUGUGUUUGUGCAUGUGCCUAAUGAGGAAGACAGCACCAUAUUGGACUCUGGGAAAAGAACCAGUGGAGAGGAUGUGACUGUCGGAUGGAAGACUCUGAGAAAGUGGGACAAGAUGGGACAAUCACCUGGCUGACGGAGUAGGGCCGUCUUUGGCAGGAAUAGGUCUUCCAUUGUUAUAAAAUGUGAGCAAAAGUGGGUGAGUACAGCUAUAAGCAAAUUUGUAGAUUUUGGGGGAUUAAAAGUUGAGAGAGUUUUUAUUGUAUUUUCUCCAGGGUUCGAGCAGGAAGCUCACAAUGUGCUCAAAUUGCUUAAACACAGGACAUUGGAAACUACAAAUUAUGGUGCAGUGCCCAGAGACAGUGACAGCAAGACCUGAAGGAUGAGGGGAAAGAGAAAUUUCUAGAAUUGGGGGGGGAGGUAAAAUGGGGAGAGAAAGAGAGAAAGUGAGAGAGAGUAGGGGAGAGAGAGGGAGAGAGGAAUGAGGGACAGAGGGAGGGUGGGGAGCGGAGAGAAAGAAAGGUGGGAAAGAGCUGCCUGGCAGAAGCUGUGGGCGGUGGAAGUGAUCAGUCCGUGGCGUGGGGGACCAAGGAAAUUAACAUGUCAACCUCCUUCCCUCUAAUCUGCCCAGUUCUGCCCACCGGCCAGAGGGAAGGGAGCUCAGAGCAGAACGAGAAGUGGUGGAAGGUGAGUCACAAGGUGCGUGCAGAUGACACUCAGCACAGUUGGGGAUCAUGAGUUAAUUAUCAUCGCAGACUAAAUCGUGAGAUUUCCACCACAGCAUAUGCUGCUCAAGGGAUCGCACUGAGAAAGGAGAUGUUCGCGUUUAUUUCCAGCUGCUCUGGCGUGGCGGAGGGAACAAGGACGAGAUGACAGGCUGCAGAGUGCAUGUCCCUGCUUCCUGAUAUCCGUGUCGUACCCAAUAAAGAGUCUCCAGGCAAA